CUACAGGCAUACAAUGCAACCAGUGUAAUAUAAAAAGGAAAUUUGCUAUUGGCUGCACGACAUCAUCACAGAAUGGACGUGUUGUCUGAGGCCUUCCCCUCCUCAGGCCAGCUGGCCUCUGACCCCGGGACUGGGUCUGGGAUGGUCCCAACGCUGACCUCUGAGACGGGGGUGGAGUCUGGGACGGUCCCAACGCUGACGCAGCUCCUUCAGGGAGAGCGACACCACUCCAGGACCACCCAAGACCAGGGUCUGUUGGACAAUUUCCACGACUUGAACAAAAUGAUUGGUCAGCGCUACAAGAGGACCAACGGCGUGUCUCGCGACCUGCUUCUCAAGACCUUAUACCUGGAGCCGGCCUACACUGAAAUCAGAAACAUAUCCAGGCCGACCAAUCACAGGCUCUCCCCUGGCCUCCCUUCGGCCAAUCGGCACGCUCAGAGCUCCAAGCGGCGUCUGUCGUACGACCACAACAGAAACAUCGCAGAGUAACGUGUCAGAGUGGGAGCCCAGCGUCGCUCCAGCCUGUCUGACUGCUGUACGGUGCACUCCCUGGGUGGAAGUGGACUUUUAGACUUUCAACAGGAUUCAGCCACAGCCUGAGGGAAUUGGACCCAAACACUUUUUUCUAAAGACCACCGGGGUCAAAGGUUCACCUCACACAUCCACUGUGUAUCACCUGCAACGUAUCCCUAGAUUUGACUAUUCGUCUAACCUAUUUUUGACCUUGUUGCAGUUCCUCGUCCCCUGACAGCCGUAUCACUUAGAUUUGCCACAAAUUGCAUCAGUUAUUGGCAAUUUAAAUGAAAUGUCAAUAAUAUCAGCAAAGCUUGAUGCAUGACACAAACACCGUUGAUUUCUUCUCGCUUUUUUUCAGAGAAUAAGUGUAUGGACCAGACUGUUUGGUAGGAAAGCACCUGGGCAGCUUUUUAGAGCGAUAGUUGAGAGCGUAGUUUCCAUUGACUGCUACUUGAAAUCUGCUUGUAAAGAAGCACUACAGUCCUCCCGUUGUUGUAGCGGUGAAAACGUAACUGGCGAAACUUUAAAUCACUAAUUUAAGUCACUGACUCUAGUUUAAGCUUUUGAAGUUGGAAACGUCUCCCGUUAAGUAAAACCUCAAAAGAUGACUUAAAAAGACUGGUUCUCAUCUCUUUUGAAACAUUUGUGAUCCCAAAGUGACCACAAAGCAGGUAGAGAGCAUUGAUGCUCUGGCUACCAGCUGAUCCAUCUGAACUAAAUCGCUUUUUCAUCAUCCCUUGACCAUCUCCAAAGUCCAAGGUUUUGAGAAAGAGUUGAUUAAUAUAAUCAGGAUAGGAUUAAUUUGUCCUGGUUUAUGUUAUUUACUUUUUUCCCACCAUGUGAAUUGACUGCUCGAAGAUGUGUGUUAACCUUCAAAUGUCAAACAUCAUUUUAUCCCAUGUGAUCAUCGAACUUGACCUUUUGUUGUUUGCUGAACUUGAAAUGGCACUUAUGAUAGUAAACCUCUUUUUUCUAUCCCAACAGGAGGGAUUAUAAUUGAUUAUUUCUCUGGUCACAAUAGAAAUGGCAAAUGUGUGAUUUUGUUGUGAGUUCUUAAGAGUUUUUGUUGUGUACUGUCAGUAACACUGGAAUUAUUAUUAUUACCAAAUGUGAGAAUUGAUUUGAUCAGAAAAAAUAUAUAUUCGUCUUCCAAACAGUGCCAAUAACAAAAUGAAUAAUUAAAAGUGCCAAUUUUUUUACAAGGUUACUUAAAAUCGAUGGCAGAUUGGGGCAUUUGUGAGGAAGUGUUUCUUCACAAAUCGUCUGUAUUCUCGAAUCGACACAAACCGGCCUCCAGCCUUCUCUUAAUUAAUCUCCUCUCCGUCUGACUGCAUGUCCGUCUUUCUGUCUGUCCGUCAAUGCACUGAUUCCAUUACUUUGCCGAGGCCCGUGUUGAUUCAAAACCCAAGCCUACCUGCCGAUCUGAACGCUGUUCUCGCGAGAGGAACGAUCAAACUGUCAUCAUCUCCAUAGCGCAGUGAACCGUUUUGCAACCAAAUUUUGAUUCCUUUCAACAUUCUGUCAUGUGUCAGAGGUCAUGUGUGGUGAAUGUCAGCCAUUUGUACAAUCUGUGGAUUCCAGCAGAAAAAGAUGAAUAUUUUCUGAACUGUUCACAAUGGAAAAAAUAAAAAAGGUCAACUUGUCAAGUGAUGUAAUAAAAUGAUCCCGCUGUAAGAGC
ensembl:lncRNA